rnacentral:lncRNA from 1 species
CAGCCCUAUAGGAGACACCUCCAGAGAAAGUAACAACUCUCAGUUGAUUAGCUGAGGUAUGUAUGUCAUUUAUGGCAAUACCUGUCUCCAUCCCCUCCGUCUUCUUCUAGGAGACCAAUUUUGUAAAUUGCUACUUUUCUAACAACAGUGGCACAGGUGGCCCAGCAUUCUCCCUUUUCUCAGAGCUGGUUUUCCAUCCUGGAAAGAGGUCUUACAUAUACAAAGUUACUCUAAUCAGUUGUAAUAAACAGAUGCUUUUACAGCUCGCAUUGGUGGGAAGAUCUGGCACAAAUGAAGUAUCUAUAAGGAGCAGCAGAGUCAAGGUGGUGAUCCUGUGGAAGAAUAACUGAAACCUGAUAUACUUGACAGCAGAAAAUAUAAAGCAAAUCGAAAAGGAGAGAGUGUGGAGAUAAAUAAGGAAAUGAAAGAACUGAUGAAGUCACUUGGAUUAAAAAACCUGGGAGUAAGGGCUUUGUUUAUGAUUGAACUUAAGAGAGAAUUGAAGGACCACCUACCUUUGAUGUUAACAAGAAAGUAAAGAGGAAACAUAUUUAGAGAUA